AGAGAACAGCAUGAAGCGACAGAUGGCAGUUGCGGAGUGCACCUCUGAGAGGGUGGUGUGCGGUGAAGCGGGAGUAGAACAGGAGAGAAGUUGAGCUCCAGUCCUUCUCUUCCGCCGUCUUCGACAACACUCUUUUGCCAGUGCAGCCCUCCAGGGAAUAUGUACUGAGUGACACUUCACAGAACGAAACAGAAAGCAGUGGUUAAUUUGACCCACUACAGAUGACAGAAACGGAACCAACCGAGUGACUGAUGACAAUUAUUUUCAACAUUUAAAAUACCGAAUAAUAUUUCAGAAUCUAAGAAAGUAUAAAAACCACUGUUGCAUAAAUACAAAUAUGUGUCCUUAUCCACGUUUGGCUAGAUAGUAUUUAGCUUAUGGUCCUUAUAAUUUUAUCAGUAUGGUAAUCGUACCUUUCUGUUUAGGAAAAAAAAUAUUUUAUUCAAGUUAGAUUAGAGGUGGUUGUAUAUAUAACCAAUUCUGCUACUAGACUGAAGCAUCCUGAAGAGAGGUGUGUGUUUCAAACAUCCUUUUGUUUUUUUUUUAAUGAUUUUUGUUUUUUCCAUUAUAGUUGAUUUACAGUGUUCUGUAAAUUUCUACUGUACAGCAAAGUGACCCUAAUAUAUAUAUGAGGCAUAUAUAUACAUUACCUCAUUACCCUCCAUCAUGUUCCAUCACAAGUGACCGGAUAGAGUUCCCUGUGACCCCCUGGAUUUUAAGUGGGUUACAUCAUCACUCAGAAUAAAGACCAUCUUUCCUCAGGCUGCCUUCAAACAAAGAAUAUGUAAGCAUAAGUGUAAACCGUCUCUAGCAACCUUCCUUAAGUUAGCUUCCUUUUCCAACCUUUAUUUUUCCUGCUGGCUGGAUGGUGGUUCUGAUGGCUAGAGGUGAGCAGCUGUCUUUGACCAUGAAAUGGUCUUAGAUGAGAGGCCAGUCCUGGCAGAGUAACUUCAUGGAGGCCAAAUCACACCAGUCUGGCCUGGCUCACCCUGGACUUUUAUGUGGGAUCAACUAUCUUAUUCAAGCUGCUGUCACUUGCAACAGGACAUAAUUCCAACCUUUAAAAUCUCUAGCAUAUUUUGUUGAAUAAAUGUUGCAAAUUUUUGGAGUUCCUGCUGUGGCACAGUGGGUUAAGAAUCCGACCGAAGCGGCUCUGGUUGCUGUGGAGGUGUGGGUUUGAUCCCGGGCCUGGCUCAGUGGACUAAUUGAUCAGGCGUUGUGUGGGUUGCAGCUGAAAAUGUUGCAGAUUUUAGGGUGUCCAUUAUUUUUGUUGGCUCAGAAGUUCAUGGGCUGAAAUAGGAAAACAGUGAGGUCAUCCCAAGGUCAGAGGCAAAUGAGAUCUAGGAAUCUAGGAGCUCAAGCAAUAGGAGAUCAGCUAUGGUCUGGCAAAUAAAGGAGAACGAGUCAAAGCUAAAUCUCAGUGAAAGAGACACAGCUUAGUCUGGGGGACUAGGAAUCAUCUGUCUCUGUGGCCUGAAGGAUAGUGAGCAGGUAGCUCAGGAUCUAUGUCAAAGGGUCUCAUCCAGGGUUAGUUUAGCUCCUCAGGGGACUGGGACUUUGGCAAUACCUGGAGCUGUCUUUGGUUGUCACCGCUGGUCAGGGGAGGAGUGGUGCUGAGGGCGUCGAGUGCAUAGAGGCCACAGAUGCUGCUAAAAAUCUUGCCAUGAACAGAACGGCCCCUGUAACAAAGAAUUAUCUGGCCCAAAAUGUUGAUAGUGCUGAGGUGAAGAAACCCUGGUUUAGCUGACUAUAGCUGCCAGAGGUGAAAUGGAUCAUUUAGCCAGCCUGGAUAACAGCUUGGAAAUAGAUGAUCCAGACUUUCAUGUUCAGCAUCAUUAAGCAAAUUUCAUGACUAAGCUUGAGUACCUGCAAAUUGCUCCCAGAAUGCUAAACAGCUUAUACCUCAACGUUCCUCUCGCACCACAAAGAUAAUUGUGCUCUGCCUGAGGCUGAGGCUGUGACAUGCUCACAGCCCUUAGGAAGAGUAUGGAAUAUGAAACAGGAAUGUAUUGGGGCCCUAAGAUCUCAGCUGGAGAAGCCCCUUUCCAUUCUGAAUGUGGGGAGAGGAAUCAACUGGACAAGCAAAGGCUCCUUUGAUGUGUGUCACCUGUGUCCUAAAUGUGGGAAUUGUCCCCACAUUCCCAAUGCCAAGGCUUGUGCAAAAGAUCCGUGUCAGAGAGGCUAAGAGGGCAGAUCUAUUCUUUUUUUUUUUUUUUUGUCUUUUGUUGUUGUUGUUGUUAUUGUUGCUAUUUCUUGGGCCGCUCCCGCGGCAUAUGGAGGUUCCCAGGCUAGGGGUUGAAUCGGAGCUGUAGCCACCGGCCUAUGCCAGAGCCACAGCAACGGGGGUUCCGAGCCGAGUCUGCAACCUACACCACAGCUCACGGCAACGCUGGAUCGUUAACCCACUGAGCAAGGGCAGGGAACGAACCCGCAACCUCAUGGUUCCUAGUCGGAUUCGUUAACCACUGCGCCACAACGGGAACUCCA
rnacentral:lncRNA from 1 species